GGCGGCGUAGCCAAGUGGUAAGGCUGUAGCCUGCAAAGCUUCGACCCCCGGUUCGAAUCCGGGCGCCGCCUCCA
rnacentral:tRNA from 1 species